rnacentral:miRNA from 2 species
UAUUUCAGGCAGUAUACUGGUAA